AAUAAUGGUAUUUUUAAUAUAUAUCUAACUUAAAACAUAUCUACAACAUAAAGAAAUCUUACAAUCCAAUAAUAAGUCAAUGGCUAAAAAUAGAUUAAUAAUAAUAAUAAUAAAAGGGGUAGAAGAUAUGAAUAAAUGUUUAUUUGAAAGCAAAAAAAAUUUUAAAGCUACACAAAUGAAGAGAAAAACCACAUGAAGAGAUGAUCGGCGCCAUUCUUUAGUCAUCUGCAAGACACAAGUCACUAGCAUCAGGUAACAUGGACUAGAUUAGUUAUAAAUUGUUCACGGGUAACAGUUAUUCAGGCUUACAAACUGUUUGAAACAAGGGGGAAAUGACCGACCGAAGUCAGGAUAGUGUCGGCAGAUUCAGGACUCCAGGAGACUGAUGCUUGUGGCUGUACUGUGGAGCCUGGCUGAGCAGGGUGGUGGCGAAGGCGCAGGCGCAGGCGUUUGCGAUGUUGUUUAAUUGUACCUUAGGUAGCUAGAGUGGCCGCAGCACUGGCUCUUGGCCUCUGCCUAGUGGGUGCGGAGUGCUCAUGCUGGGUCGUACACAAAGUUUCUCAGAAGCACCAAGGUACCCAAUGAGGACCUGUGGUAGGCGCCCAACCUCUUCUGUGGACUCCAUUGGCCUUCUUCACUCUUUCUGCCCCUCCAAAUACACAUAAAAAUCUUGAUAGUAUGCAAUCACUCGCAGGUUCAAGACAAAAGCCCUAAUGUGUAUGCAGCCCUCAGUCAGACUGGGAACCUUUGUAAAUCAAGGAGCCCAAAGGUAGCUGGGCUCUUCUGCAUGGUGUACUGGCUGGUUUUGUGUCAACUCGACACAGCUGGGGUUAUCACAGAGAAAGGAGCUUCAGUUGAGGAAAUGCCUCCAUGAGAUCCAGCUGUAAGGCAUUUCCUCAAUUAGUGAUCAAGGGGGAAAAGCCCCUUGUGGGUGGGACCAUCUCUGGGCUGGUGGUCUUGGGUUCUAUAAGAGAGCAGGCUGAGCAAGCCAGUAAAGAACAUCCCUCCAUGGCUUCUGCAUCAGCUCCUGCUUCCUGACCUGCUCGAGUUCCAGUCCUGACUUCCUUUGGUGAUGAACAACAGUAUGGAAGUGUAAGCCGAAUAAACCCUUUCCUCCCCAAACUGCUUCUUGGUCAUGAUGUUUGUGCAGGAAUAGAAACCCUGACUAAGACACACGGGUUCCGCCCCCUGGAGGUAAGUAAGGGAAAGCACCCACAAAAAGGGUACCUUUCACCUACAACUAGAUUCGGCAAGAAAACGAAAGGCUGGGAAGGGCCAGGUGAAGGUGCAAGGAAACCUGGGUUCUGGUUCCAUUUGUUCCUUCUUCAGCAAGGGGGUUCCCUCGGGGUUCUCAGUUGCCCCUUCUGUAAAUCUGUGGGGAAUCCCUUUAGCUAAAUCAAGCAAAAGAGACUCUAGAAAUGUCACCGGCUCAGCUGGUGCCUCUAAAGGCAGUGAGAUACCUACUUAUGCCAGGGUGAACGUGGCACGGCUCCCUAGCGGCGGGUGACCAGCAAGCACAGUAGCCUGAAGGGUGAGCAAUGCCUGACGGGGCGGGGCUCGAACCCACAAAGCAGGCCCCGGUCAUGUGGCUGAGUCACGUGUCCUACCCGGAAGCGCGCCGCAGGCUGGCUACACGCUGGGCGGUGCGAGCCGCGGAUCCGCAUUUGCAGGCCCAAGGAUGCUGUGCUGCUGUUGUCUGCUGACCUGGUCAGAGUAUCUAGCUCCUCAGAAGCCCUGCUGUGUGCUUUGCCAAGGCUGAACUCACGGAUGUGACCUUUGCCCUCGCUUUUCCCUGGAAGAUGAAGUGCGUGUUGGUGGCCACCGAGGGCGCAGAGGUCCUCUUCUACUGGACAGAUGAGGAGUUUGCUGAGAGCCUCCGGCUGAAGCUCCAGCAGUCAGAGGAUGAGGAAGAGGAGCUCCCUGUGCUGGAGGACCAGCUCAGCACCCUCCUGGCCCCAGUCAUCAUCUCCUCCAUGACGAUGAUGGAGAAGCUCUCGGACACAUAUACCUGCUUCUCAACAGAAAAUGACAACCACCUGUAUGUCCUGCAUCUGUUUGGAGAGUACCUGUUCGUCGCCAUCAACGGAGACCACAGUGAGAGCGAGGGGGACCUGCGGAGGAAACUGUGUGUGCUCAAGUAUCUAUUCGAGGUGCACUUCGGGCUGGUGACUGUGGACGGCCAGCUCAUCCGGAAGGAGCUUCGUCCACCCGACCUGGAAGAGCGUGCCCGGGUGUGGAAGCACUUUCAGAGACUGCUGGGGACCUACAGCUACCUGCGGGACCGGGAGCAGAGCUUUGCUGUGGAGGCAGUGGAGCGGCUCAUUCACCCCCAGCUCUGCGAACAGAGCAUCGAGACGCUAGAGCGGCACGUGGUUCAAGCCAUCAACGCCAGCCCCGAGCGGGGCGGUGAAGAGGUCCUGCACGCCUUCCUGCUGGUGCACUGCAAGCUGUUGGCUUUCUACUCCGGCCAUGGUGCGAGCACCCUGCGCCCCGCAGACCUCCUGGCGCUCAUCCUUCUGGUGCAGGACCUCCAGCCCUCCCCAGGAACCACAGAGGAGGAGGAGGAGGAGGAGGAUAGCGACAGCCCUCAGGUCCCGGAGCACAAGGGGAACAGGAGGAGACCCAAGAGCAGCCAAAACAUCCCAGUGCAGCAGGCAAGGAGCCAGAGCACCUCAGUCCCCACCAGGAGUUCCAGGGAGACAGACACAGACAGCAUCUCCCUCCCUGAAGAGUACUUCACUCCUGCUCCUUCCCCAGGCGAUCAGAGUUCAGGUAGCCUCGUCUGGCUGGAUGGUGGCACCCCGCCCAGCGAUGCUCUUCAGAUGGCUGAGGACACCCCCGAGGGGCUGGCGUCUCACUCCCCAGAACUUCCCAGCCCCAGAAGGAUCUUCCUGGAUGCCAACAUAAAAGAAAACUACUGUCCCUUAGUGCCCCACACCAUGUACUGCCUGCCCCUGUGGCCAGGCAUCAACAUGGUGCUGCUGACCAAGAGCCCCAGCACCCCACUGGCCCUGAUCCUGUACCAACUGCUGGAUGGCUUCUCCCUCCUGGAGAAAAAGCUGAAGGAAGGUCAGGAGGCCGGAAGUGCCCUGCGAUCCCAGCCCUUUGUUGCAGACCUGCGCCAGAAGAUGGACAAGUUUAUCAAGAAUCGAGUUGGGCAGGAGAUUCAGAACACCUGGCUGGAGUUUAAGAGCAAAGCCUUCUCUAGAAGUGAGCCAGGAUCGUCCUGGGAGCUGCUCCAGGUCUGUGGAAAGCUGAAGCGACAGCUGUGUGUCAUCUACCGGCUUAGCUUCCUGGUCACUGCACCCAGCAGAGGAGGACCGCACCUGCCCCAGCACCUGCAGGACCGAGCCCAGAAACUCAUGAAGGAGAGGCUUCUGGACUGGAAGGACUUCCUGUUGGUGAAGAGCCGGAGAAAUGUCACCAUGGUGUCCUGGAGGAUUUCCCAGGCCUGGUCCACUUCAUCUAUGUGGACCGUACAACCGGGCAGAUGGUGGCCCCCUCUCUCAGCCCCAACGAAAAGAUGUCUUCCGAGUUGGGCAAGGGGCCCCUGGCUGCCUUUGUCAAAGCCAAGGUCUGGGCUCUGGUCCGACUGGCGCGCAGGUACCUGCAGAAGGGCUGCACCACACUGCUGUUCCAGGAAGGGGACUUCCGCUGCUCCUACUUCCUGUGGUUCGAGAAUGACAUGGUGGGUGUGCCCAGUCUCUGGGCAGGGCGGUCCUGAGAGCUGUCCACUGCUCUAAACCCUUGGAUACCUUUCUUCUGGGCUGUUCAAUCUAUCUGUCUCAUCUCCUCUUGUCCCUGGUGGAGCUGCAGGUAAGCACGUGACUGGGGUGUAAGACUGCCCAGGUAGAUGUGAGCCAACGGGAAGCACUCCCUGUUCUGAGGAGAAGCCAUUGUACCUGGCUACUAUCUCCUAGCCACAGGACUGUCAGUACUGUCACUUGUAAACAAAAGAAAGCUACACCAUGACCUCCACUCUCUGGGAGGACCCAGGUUCAAGGCAGUUAACCAGCCUGUCUGAGGCUUGCCUCCAGCAGGGCUCAGGUCCCUCCCUGGGCAGUACCAUAGACCUCACCCCACCACAGUACCACAAGGCCAUUGGAACCUACUGUCUCUCCCUUUCCGCCCCCUUUCUCUUCCUCACCUCAACACUUCCCACUCACUCACGCUAAUUAUCUAAAAAUCACUCCUCCCUCCUCAGGGUCUCUUGUCCUCCCGUUCCUGUACACUUCCUGGCUCUUGCUCUGUUCUCUCCGCUUGCUGAGGGUGUGUGUAACAACUCAACCUUACUAUAGUGUGGUAUAGUUUCUUCAUCUGUGCCUCACAACCUGGGGGAAUGGUUGGGAUGAGUUCUGCUGACCCAUUUUACAGAUGGGGACACACUGCUGUCUUGGAAAUACACAUCAUGGCUGAGUCCACAAAACCCAGACAAUGUCACUAGAAACCAAGAUUUGAUGUCCUGAGCCUCAAGUUCCUACUCUUCCUAAGUGCCCCAGAGUACUAGAGCUUCCAAGGACAAGUAUUUGGUGACUAGAGUGGCCCCGUGGGGCAGUGGAAUGCAGCCCAGCCGUGGGAAGCCAAGUUUUGACCACUGACUAUGACACUCAAGCCACACAAGGGUCCCUGAACACUGCUGAGUCAUCUCCCUAUGGGGCAGGCCUCACGGUGCCACCCGAGCCUCUGGUGGGAGGAUCUGUGGACACCGUCAUCGUGCCUGGCACUGUACAUGUGCCUAGCUCAUCCUCUUCUCCCCUACCUUACCCUGCCCUGACAAUUCCCAUUUCUUCCAAAACAGAGACUUUGGGUCUUUUGAGAAUUCUUUGUUUCUCAAGACACACACACACACACACACACACACACACACACACACACACACACUCUUCCUGGGCCUUUGUGAGCUCCUCACUACUGCAGCCUCGCCUGUUGGUAGCAAAAGCUGCACAGUAUGGUCAGAACUGAUCACGGGGCCCCAUUCCAUUGUGUAAGGUGGUGGUGGCUCUCUCUCUCCUUCCCAGGCAAGGAAGUAAGGCAAAAAGCCAGGCCCUGCAAGGGCUCCCACACACCCCUUCAAGCCCAGCCCCACCCUUACACACUGCUCCCUCCCUCUCAUUCUAAGACCAUCUUCCCCCUCCCACAGGGAUACAAACUGCAGAUGAUUGAGGUGCCUGUCCUCUCGGAUGACUCCGUCCCCAUUGGCGUGCUGGGAGGUGACUACUACAGGAAACUUCUGCGCUACUACAGCAAGAGCCACCCCUCGGAGCCCGUCAGGUGCUAUGAGCUGCUCACGCUGCAUCUGUCCGUCAUCCCCACGGACCUGCUGGUGCAGCAGGCCAGCCAGCUGGCCCGGCGCCUGGGGGAGGCCUCCCGGGUGACCCUGCCCUAGGCCGUCUUGCUUGCAGGCUUCUUCCAGUGCCUUCUCUCAUACCCCACUGUGGACUCCUCCACAAAGGCUGAGGAGCAAGCCUUCUCUGAAGGGCAGGGAUGCCAUGAUUCUGUGGCCCCCAGAACUGUGUGGUCAGAGGUGGCAGCAGCUGCUCUGGGAAGCUGCCCUUCUGGGUGCCCGGGAGAGCAGAAGAACGUCUUAGUGCUCAGGCUGUCUGAAGCCACCCACUUCCUGCCAUUCUGCAUAGGGUAGCUGCUCCCUACCCCAAUCAGAAGGUACUCCCUCUGGCUGGCGCCAUUCCAGCUUGGCUCCUGCUCCCUUGCAACUGAGUGGAUCCAGUUUCCUCACAAAUUGAACUGACAACACCUACCUUUCAGGGUGGUCAGGAGGAUUGCUGGAUGUGCUCGGGUGCUCAAUAAAUGUUGAUUCUUGUCAUUAU